UUUCCGUAGGUGAACCAGCGGAAGGAUCAUUAUUGAAUUACCGAGCUCCGAGCGCUUUUGCUCAUACGAAAGGGUUGCUUCGCCCGAUUGCCCCGGGGCACACCCAACCCACCCCUGCGCCCACCACCGGGGCGGUCCCCAUCUGUCUUGUUCCCGAGGCUGCUUACGUUUUCACGCAUCCUUUGGUUGCUUUGUAAAUUGUAUAAUUUGUUUAUCCAAUCACCUAUUCAAUACAGCUUUCAACAACGGAUCACUUGGUUCUCACAGCGAUGAAGAACA
rnacentral:misc_RNA from 1 species